rnacentral:rRNA from 1 species
CACGUAGGGCGCGAGCGUUGUCCGGAAUUAUUGGGCGUAAAGAGCUCGUAGGCGGUUUGUCGCGUCGGCCGUGAAAUCUCCACGCUUAACGUGGAGCGUGCGGUCGAUACGGGCAGACUUGAGUUCGGUAGGGGAGACUGGAAUUCCUGGUGUAGCGGUGAAAUGCGCAGAUAUCAGGAGGAACACCGGUGGCGAAGGCGGGUCUCUGGGCCGAUACUGACGCUGAGGAGCGAAAGCGUGGGGAGCGAACAGG